AUGCACAGAACAACAUCCCAGAUACUCCCGAAAUGGCCGAGUUGCAACCUUCUUCAGAUGAAUUAUCCAGCACUGAUGAAGAAAUUGUCCCAUCCAAAGAGAUAAACAGCCCUGCACCACGUAAAAUGGCCAGCACUGAUGAAGAGGAGGUAGUAAAUUAUG